rnacentral:rRNA from 1 species
AAAUGAAUUGACGGGGGCCCGCACAAGCGGCGGAGCAUGUGGAUUAAUUCGAUGCAACGCGAAGAACCUUACCUGGGCUUGACAUGCCGGGAAAACCCAUGGAGACAUGGGGUGCCUUCGGGCGUCCGGCACAGGUGGUGCAUGGCUGUCGUCAGCUCGUGUCGUGAGAUGUUGGGUUAAGUCCCGCAACGAGCGCAACCCCCGUCCCAUGUUGCCAGCGGGUAAUGCCGGGGACUCAUGGGAGACUGCCGGGGUCAACUCGGAGGAAGGUGGGGACGACGUCAAGUCAUCAUGCCCCUUAUGUCCAGGGCUUCACACAUGCUACAAUGGCCGGUACAGAGGGCUGCGAAACCGCAAGGUGGAGCGAAUCCCACAAAGCCGGUCCCAGUUCGGAUCGGGGUCUGCAACUCGACCCCGUGAAGCCGGAGUCGCUAGUAAUCGCAGAUCAGCAACGCUGCGGUGAAUACGUUCCCGGGCCUUGUACACACCGCCCGU